GACGAACGCUGGCGGCGUGCUUAACACAUGCAAGUCGAACGGUGAACUCGGAGCUUGCUCCGGUGGAUUAGUGGCGAACGGGUGAGUAACACGUGCGUAACCUGCCCUUGACUCUGGGAUAACUGCGGGAAACUGUAGCUAAUACCGGAUACGACCCUCGGCGGCAUCGCCAGGGGGUGGAAAGAAUUUCGGUCAAGGAUGGACUCGCGGCCUAUCAGCUAGUUGGUGAGGUAACGGCUCACCAAGGCGACGACGGGUAGCCGGCCUGAGAGGGUGACCGGCCACACUGGGACUGGGACACGGCCCAGACUCCUACGGGAGGCAGCAGUGGGGAAUAUUGCACAAUGGGCGCAAGCCUGAUGCAGCAACGCCGCGUGAGGGAUGACGGCCUUCGGGUUGUAAACCUCUUUUAGUAGGGAAGAAGCGAAAGUGACGGUACCUGCAGAAAAAGCACCGGCUAACUACGUGCCAGCCGCCGCUGUAA
rnacentral:rRNA from 1 species